rnacentral:rRNA from 1 species
GAUGAACGCUGGCGGCGUGCCUAAUACAUGCAAGUCGAGCGAACGGACGAGAAGCUUGCUUCUCUGAUGUUAGCGGCGGACGGGUGAGUAACACGUGUAUAACCUACCUAUAAUACUGGGAUAACUUCGGGAAACCGUAUCUAAUACCGGAUAAUAUUUUGAACCGCAUGGUUCAAAAGUGAAAGACGGUCUUGCUGUCACUUAUAGAUGGAUCCGCGCUGCAUUAGCUAGUUGGUAAGGUAACGGCUUACCAAGGCAACGAUGCAUAGCCGACCUGAGAGGGUGAUAGGCCACACUGGAACUGAGACACGGUCCAGACUCCUACGGGAGGCAGCAGUAGGGAAUCUUCCGCAAUGGGCGAAAGCCUGACGGAGCAACGCCGCGUGAGUGAUGAAGGUCUUCGGAUCGUAAAACUCUGUUAUUAGGGAAGAACAUAUGUGUAAGUAAAUGUGCACAUCUUGACGGUACCUAAUAAGAAAGCCACGGCUAACUACGUG